rnacentral:rRNA from 1 species
AAAGCUCAAAUUUAAAAUCUGGUAGUCUUUGGCUAUCCGAGUUGUAAUCUAGAGAAGCGUUAUCCGCGCUGGACCAUGUAUAAGUCUCCUGGAAUGGAGCGUCAUAGAGGGUGAGAAUCCCGUCUUUGACAUGGACUACCAGGGCAUUGUGAUGCGCUCUCAAAGAGUCGAGUUGUUUGGGAAUGCAGCUCUAAAUGGGUGGUAAAUUCCAUCUAAAGCUAAAUAUUGGCGAGAGACCGAUAGCGAA